UACGAAAGGGGCUAGCGUUGUUCGGAAUUACUGGGCGUAAAGCGCACGUAGGCGGCCUUGUAAGAUGGGGGUGAAAUCCCUGAGCUCAACCCAGGAACUGCCUUCAUGACUGCAAAGCUCGAGGAUGUGAGAGGUUGGCGGACUUCCGAGUGUAGAGGUGAAAUUCGUAGAUAUUCGGAAGAACACCGGUGGCGAAGGCGGCCAACUGGCCCAUUUCUGACGCUGAAGUGCGAAAGCGUGGGGAGCAAACAGG
rnacentral:rRNA from 1 species